rnacentral:rRNA from 1 species
UUUAUAUGAGAGUUUGAUCCUGGCUCAGGAUGAACGCCGGCGGUGUGCCUAAUACAUGCAAGUCGUACGCACUGGCCCAACUGAUUAAUGGUGCUUGCACCUGAUUGACGUUGGAUCACCAGUGAGUGGCGGACGGGUGAGUAACACGUAGGUAACCUGCCCUGGAGCGGGGGAUAACAUUUGGAAACAGAUGCUAAUACCGCAUAACAACAAAAGCCACAUGGCUUUUGUUUGAAAGAUGGCUUUGGCUAUCACUCUGGGAUGGACCUGCGGUGCAUUAGCUAGUUGGU